rnacentral:tmRNA from 1 species
GGGGGUGACUUGGCUUCGACAGGGAGUGUGAGGACCUAGGUGCAUGUCAAGCUUAGAUAACUUGUUAAACUAUCUAAAAAAAAUAGUCGCAAACGACGAAACUUUCGCUAUCGCAGCUUAAUAACCUGUUAGGUAGCCGCUUCUCUCAAACUUGCUGAUGACUUUGUCUGUAAGCGUUCCCUUUCAUCAGAUCGCUGGGAUCCUUUGCCUGGAGGUGAACAGUUAAAUACAAUCAGGAUAGCAUAUUGGUAGUGCGUCUACUCACAGCCGGUAUGUGAAACCUAACAGUAUGACUAAACAUGUAGUACCGAAGUUUGAUCCUUUUUGGACGCGGGUUCAAUUCCCGCCACCUCCACCA